rnacentral:sRNA from 1 species
UCCUUGUCGAGCCCGUUGAAUACGAC